CGUGGGAAAAAAUUUAUGAGAACUUGUUUCUCGUGAAUUCAAAUAGGCACAGGUGAGUGAGGUGGCGCAGGGAGAUAAGUCAAAGGUGGUUUCAAACCUAAUUGAACCAACCUUAUUAAAAUAGGUUAGGCACAAUUAGACUAAGUUAAAUCCAACACAAUUAGGCUUAAUUAGGCUCAAUAAAAUCUUAAUCAAAUCAAAAAUUGACUAAGCCCAACCC
rnacentral:lncRNA from 1 species